GAGACCCCAGGUCAGGCGGGAUUASCCGCUGAGUUUAAGCAUAUCAAUAAGCAGAGGAAAAGAAACUUACAAGGAUUCCCCUAGUAACGGCGAGCGAACC
rnacentral:rRNA from 1 species